GUUGGCCAACAAUUUUAAUUGGCAAGGGAGAGGACAGAAGAGCCCAUUUUCUACACUUUUGCUAGCAAAAGUUGUCAUAGAUGCAGCCAAAAGACAAGGGGCAAAAGUGGUGGAAGCAGAG